ensembl:lncRNA
CUUUGGGCAAAGGACAGUUGGAGGGUAGACCUUGUGUGGAGGGACACAUCUCCUACCACUUUUUGAUAGAAUGCCCUCUGCUCUCAUCUCCUCGGCUAAAUUAGUAUGAGUUUUUCUCCCACCACGUAUGUGAGAAGGUGGCAGAGAGCUACAAUUUCAGACAGCUGUCAUCCUAGAAAAGUCUCUCUUCCUCAACAUGACACACAAGCCACUCAGCCCUGUUGAUGAGAUUUCCAUGAAUUUGUUUUCUUCCACUUCCACCCUCUUCUUAUUUGCCAUAAUAACUAACCUUUAGGUUGUCUUCUGGGUGGUGUUGGCUCCCCCUUCUGACCCAGUUCUCUGCAUCUCCCUGUAGCUCCCCAACUCCACGAUGCUGUGUUCUUGUCCUUUUUUCAGAAACCUCCUUUUGGCUGGGUCAUUCAGGGACCUGCCUCUAUGUAGGAGCCACUCUCCAUUUACCUUGCACGAUGCUGUGUGAUUCAUGCCAACUUGCUUGUGUUCCCUGCUGGACUGCGAGCUCCCAGAGGCAAGAACAGAUUUCUUCACCUCUUAGUCCUCAUCCAUACUGCACAGCCCACGGGCACCCUUGCACCACCAUGAAUGCCAACAGCCAUUUUGCUGAGCAGAUAUGAGCUCCCAGGGCACUGGCAGCAAGGAGGAGCAGGACCCCGAGGCAGCCCUGAGGCCCCAGUGAACGCCCAGCCAAGAAGUGCGGAGGGUGCCUCUCGUUGCUUUCCUCGCUGGCGGGCAGUGCCCGACUUUCCCCAGGAUGCCUGAGGUUUCCGAAUUCGCUCAUGUAUACCCAGCCUUGAGCCACUACGAAGACCUGUGCAGACCCCGGUGUGUCUCCUUUCCUGCAUGUGAUACUAAAACCCACAUCACAAUGCCCACGCCAAAAGACCAGCUGGAAACUACGGUUGUGAUACCUCCUUUCCUCCUAAACUCUGUCAGGUUGAAUUUGGCUUCUAUUUCAAUUAUAUUAUAUAUGAGGGGUCACAUGUGUUCCAGUUUGUGGAAAAUGGUGUUCCAGGCUGUGUUUCCAGCAAGCUGUGGCAAGAAUCAGCCUUUUAGACCGAAGGGGUACAAGGACAAAAGAAGAAGGAAAAGAGUAAGAAAUUCCAGACUGAGGCCGAGGCUGGACAGUUUCAUGGAUCAGCAUCUAUUCGCUGUUUCACACUUGGGGCUUAUUCUGUAAAGUACCAUCGCCAACCCACCAACUCUUACAC